rnacentral:rRNA from 1 species
UCUGGUUCAGGAUGAACGCUAGCUACAGGCUAACACAUGCAAGUCGAGGGGCAGCAUAACGAAAGCUUGCUUUGUGAUGGCGACCGGCGCACGGGUGAGUAACGCGUAUCCAACCUUCCCUAUACUAGAGAAUAGCCCGGCGAAAGUCGGAUUAAUGCUCUAUGUUCUUCUUUGAUGGCAUCUGACGAGAAGCAAAGGUUUACCGGUAUAGGAUGGGGAUGCGUCUGAUUAGGUUGUUGGCGGGGUAACGGCCCACCAAGCCUACGAUCAGUAGGGGUUCUGAGAGGAAGGUCCCCCACAUUGGUACUGAGACACGGACCAAACUCCUACGGGAGGCAGCAGUGAGGAAUAUUGGUCAAUGGGCGAGAGCCUGAACCAGCCAAGUAGCGUGCAGGAUGACUGCCCUAUGGGUUGUAAACUGCUUUUAUAGGGGAAUAAAGUGAGGUAUGUAUACCUUUUUGUAUGUACCCUAUGAAUAAGGACCGGCUAAUUCCGUGCCAGCCGCUGC